GGGGAGCUACGAUGUGGGGGAACCUGGGGAACUCAGGCUAAUACCGCAUACGUCCUACGGGAGAAAGCAGGGGAUCUUCGGACCUUGCGCUAUCAGAUGAGCCUAGGUCGGAUUAGCUAGUUGGUGAGGUAAUGGCUCACCAAGGCUACGAUCCGUAACUGGUCUGAGAGGAUGAUCAGUCACACUGGAACUGAGACACGGUCCAGACUCCUACGGGAGGCAGCAGUGGGGAAUAUUGGACAAUGGGCGAAAGCCUGAUCCAGCCAUGCCGCGUGUGUGAAGAAGGUCUUCGGAUUGUAAAGCACUUUAAGUUGGGAGGAAGGGCAUUAACCUAAUACGUUAGUGUUUUGACGUUACCGACAGAAUAAGCACCGGCUAACUCUGUGCCAGCAGCCGCGGUAAUACAGAGGGUGCAAGCGUUAAUCGGAAUUACUGGGCGUAAAGCGCGCGUAGGUGGUUUGUUAAGUUGAAUGUGAAAUCCCCGGGCUCAACCUGGGAACUGCAUCCAAAACUGGCAAGCUAGAGUAUGGUAGAGGGUAGUGGAAUUUCCUGUGUAGCGGUGAAAUGCGUAGAUAUAGGAAGGAACACCAGUGGCGAAGGCGACUACCUGGACUGAUACUGACACUGAGGUGCGAAAGCGUGGGGAGCAAACAGGAUUAGAUACCCUGGUAGUCCACGCCGUAAACGAUGUCAACUAGCCGUUGGGAGUCUUGAACUCUUAGUGGCGCAGCUAACGCAUUAAGUUGACCGCCUGGGGAGUACGGCCGCAAGGUUAAAACUCAAAUGAAUUGACGGGGCCCGCCACAAGCGGUGGAGCAUGGUGGUUUAAUUCGAAGCAACGCGAAGAACCUUACCAGGCCUUUGACAUCCCAAUGAACUUUCUAGAAGAAUAAGAUUGGUGCCUUCGGAACAAUUGAAAACAAGGUGCUGCAUGGCCUGUCCGUCAGCUCGUGUCCUGAAAUGUUUGGUUUAAGUCCCCGUAAACGAGCGCAAACCUUUGUUCUUUAAGUUUAACCAGCACCGUAAAUGGUGGGCACCUCCAAGGAAACCUGCCGUGGACAAAACCGAAGAAAGGUGGGAAUGAAACUUCAAGUACUACUAUGCCUUAACGGCUGGGCCUCACACGUGCUCAAUGUUCCGUACAAGUGUCUAAGCCGAGUGAAAACUAUUCCGAU
rnacentral:rRNA from 1 species